AACGCGAAGAACCUUACCUGGGUUGGAACCCUCCAGAAGUCCGCAGAGACGUGGAUGUGCUCGCAAGAGAACUGGAUGUCCAGGUGCUGCAUGGCUGUCGUCAGCUCGUGUCGUGAGAUGUUGGGUUAAGUCCCGCAACGAGCGCAACCCUUGUCGUUAGUUGCCAGCGGUUCGGCCGGGCACUCUAACGAGACUGCCGGUGUUAAACCGGAGGAAGGUGGGGAUGACGUCAAGUCCUCAUGGCCCUUAUGCCCAGGGCUACACACGUGCUACAAUGACCGGUACAAAGGGUUGCAAGCUCGCGAGAGUAAGCUAAUCCCAAAAAACCGGCCUCAGUUCAGAUUGAAGUCUGCAACUCGACUUCAUGAAGUCGGAAUCGCUAGUAAUCCCUGAUCAGCAGGCAGGGGUGAAUACGUUCCCGGGCCUUGUACACACCGGUACUA
rnacentral:rRNA from 1 species